GGUUGCGUGGCCGAGUGGUCUUAAGGCGCUAGCUUUAGGUUCUUUCCUGAAUCGCUAGUGGGAAACCGCGCGAGUUCGAAUCUCGCCGCAAUCA
rnacentral:tRNA from 1 species